UCAUAUUACCAAAAUCAAUGGGAUUGCUCUACACAUGUAUUAGUAUUUCUUCUGAGUCAUGCGAUUCAUGUGGUUUUCAUGUUUACAUCUCUUGACAUGCAAAGCUUGAAAUGUUAGUUUCUAGAUCUAGAGAAACUAGAUUUAUUGUCUUGUAGUUUGUAGCUACUCACACAAGCCGCCAUAUUAAAAUUAUUUUUGGAGUUUGCACUAUUGACAUAUAUAUGUGUCCAUUUUCUGUUUCGUUUUUCGUAGAUAUCAGAUUCAAAACAAUUUAAUCUUGCAAUGUUAACACUUAAAACUUAGCUAAAUUUUUUUAUAAUUUAGAUUUAUAAUCAUUUCUAAAUUUAUUUAUUCUGUUGAACCUGUUUUUCUACUUGACUAAUGGAUGAUGUGCACUAGUUUUAUACUUUUGUACCAGUAGAUUCUGUAUAUGCUUUAUAGGUCUAUACUCUUAAACAUACUAUUUAUAAAAAUAUAUUUUGAUACUUUUUUUUUCUAUCUAGACUACUUCAAUGUGUAAGUAAUACUAGAUCUACAAUAGAAUAGCACAGACUAACUUUAGACCUGUAUUACUUAUGCGGAUAAGAUCUAUUGGAUAUUCAUCUGAACUAUUUCUGAUAUUAUGCCAAGACCAAGAAAGAGCUCAUCCUUUAAAAAGGUGGAGGACACUGUUUUGUACAAGUUUCUCAUUGAACAUUUUGACUACUCCAAACUUGGAUCAGAUGAUCCUAAUAAACUAUGCCUCAAAGGACAUGUCCUCCUAAUUUAUCUCCAAAACCAUUGUUGCAAAACAUCUGCUGCUGAAAUUGUUGCUUCAACUUUUGGAUUCCCAUUUACCCCAUAUUUAAUUUCCAAGGUUCAUAAUUUAAUUGAAUAUACAAUUAAAAAGUAUAAAAAGAAAAUUACAAGUUAUUUGACAGAAAUUCAAAAAAUUGGCUCUGAAAUAUUUUACGAGUUACCUGUUCCAAGCACAACAGCUAGCUCCUAUCCCUGAUUCAUCUGCUCCUAUCCCUGAUUCAUCUGCUCCUAUUCCUGAUUCAUCUCCAACAAAAGCUACAGAAAGUUCAAAUAUAAUUCAGCCAAUUGAACAAAAGCCAGUUUCAUCAAAUUUAAGAAGUAAUGAUGAACUACACCCUCGUGUUCAAAAAUUAAAAAUGCGUCUUUCUUUCCUGUCUCGUGCAAGAAGUGAAGAAAAAAUUAAAUAUAGAAAUAAAAUUAAGAUUCAAACCAAACUAAUUAAAAAUCUUAGACAGGCAGUUCGAAGAAAAGAUGAAAGAAUAACAAAUCUAUUGAGUGAAAGAAAAGUUAAAUCUGAUAAACAGGAUUUUUCUCAAAAUCAGAGCACUACUUCUAACACAAAAGAAGAAACAAAAACUUUGGAAGAUAAUUGAAAUGCUUACCUCCCUUUUAUCCAUAAAUAAAAAGGUCUUUUUUUUUUUAAAUAAGACUUAUGUUAUUAGUAGUUUUUAUAUAUGACACUUGCACUUAACCCCUACAACAUUUCACAUGAGCCUUGUCGUGCUUCCUGUUUCAAAUUAUCCCUCAAAUAUCAACUUACCCUUCAUCAAAACCAUUGAUCACCAAUAGAUCAUCACCUGUGUCUUCAUCAAAUUCAGUUGUCAGUUGAAUGUCAUUUGAUUUACUGGUAUUCAGUCAUGCCUCAAUCAUCAGAAAGUCUAGCUUCAUUUCUGUGUCGUCACACUCAACCACUAAUCAGCAACAUUAUUUGCCUUGUAGCAUCAGUAGAUUGACACUAUCACAUAUCAAUAUGUUGCACGUCAUGUUAUCCAGCUGUCUGUUUACUUUGCCAUUGCAAACAAAUCAUCCCUAACUUCACAUUGUAUAUCAAGUUAUCUGUACAAAUCACCAAAAGAAAUUUUGUUCUUUACUACUUCGUCCCAUGUAGGAUCUACAACAGAAUCUACUACCUAUACCACUGAAGUAUUUUUUAAGAGGAACUUGUGAACUAGCAAACUGUUCUUUCAUUAUUCACCUAGAGAUAUCAAGAUUGACCACUGCAACCUUUUAUAACACAAAGUAACUUAAAGCCUGUAAUACUCAAACACAUACAAUCUGUUUUGUAUUCAUAUGAACUAUUUCUGCUAUCAUGCCAAGACAAAGAAAAAAAAGGAGUUCAUCCCUUAAGAAGGUGGAGGACACUAUUUUGUACAAGUUUCUCAUUGAACAUUUUGACUACUCCAAACUUGGAUCAGAUGAUCCCAAUAAACUAUGCCUCAAGGGACAUGUCCUUCUAAUUUAUCUGCAAAAUCAUUCGUCCCAAACAGCAGCUGCUGAAUUCCUGGCUUCUACUUUUGGAUUCCCUUUUUCCCCAUUUUUAAUUAGCAAAGUUCAUUAUCUAAUUGAGUGUACCUUUGCUAGGUAUAAAAGUAAUAUUACUAAAUAUAUGACAGAAAUUCAAAACAUUGGUUCUCAGAUUUUUUACCAAUUACCAAGCACAACUUCUCCUAACCCUGAUCAAAUUCCUAGGAUAGCUACAGAAAUUUCAGAUGUUAUUCAACCAACUGAUCAAAACCCUGUUUCAUCAAAUUUGAGAAGUAAUGCUGAAUUAAACCCCCGUAUAAGAAAAUUAAAGAUGCGCCUCUCUUUCCUGUCCCAAGCAAGAAGUGAAGAUAAGAUUAAAUACAGAACUAAACUCAAGUCUCAAUCUAGAUUGAUUAAAAAUCUUAGAGAGUCAGUUCGGAGAAAAGAUGAAAGAAUUAAAAAGCUUUUAAAUAAAUUAAAGAAAAGAAAAGUUAAAUCUGGGGAACUAGAAAAUUGUCAAGUUCAAAGCUCUACAAAAGAUUGCUUAAUUCAGAACACCACAGUCGACACUAAGGAAGAAGAAACAAUAAGAGCUAAUGAAGAAAAUUGAGCGUCAAAAGAUUGUAUUAAAAAUUACUAGUUUCACAUAACAAUCACACAACCUAUUGUCCUUUUACUGUAACACUUGAACUUGUCAUUCUGUGUAUUUAUUUUUCAAAUAUUAGCUUUGCUAUAAUCUAGUAAAAAUUGGACUUCAUCAUACAUAUAUAUUUCUAGUUUGGACUUUUUAAAACCAGUGGUGGAGAUUACAUGUUUCUACAUUGAAUCCAGCUGUUACUUGAACGUCACCUGAUUUACUGUUUAUCAAAAAGUCAUCUCUCACUUAUUCAUCAUUGGGUCUACCGGUACUUCGUUAAUAUGUUGCCGUACCCAUCACUUCUGCUCUGCAAUAUUUUGUCAACACUGUUUCUUGUAUCAUCGGUACAGUGGACAAUCACACCUCAAUGUGUUGUACGUCAUGUUAUCCAGCUGUCAUUUCUACGUUGUCAUUGAAAUAAUUCUAGACUUCUCUUUAUAUCAAGUCUGAUUGUUCAAGUUAUCUUUGCAAAUCUCCACAGGAAAUAGUUGCACUUUGUAUUGAAAGGUUAUAAAAAGCAUACCAUACUGGGUAAAAAAAAAGAAUGCACCUUUGAAGAAAAAUGAUGUUAUUGAUCUUCUCAAUUGUGAAGUGAUAGCAACUUCUGCUGACCAGAGUUAUAAGAAGCUCAUUGACCAGAACGACUUGCAUAUUUCUGCUAUCAGGUCACAAAUUUUCUUUUAAUCAAUGAUUGUUGUGAAAGUAAUACAAUCUAAAGGUUUCAUUUUCAUGCUGGCCCACACCUAACUGCUGGGUUCCAUGUAUAUACAUCUCGGUAGCAGAAAAAUUAAAAACUGUAAGCUGAUUCUAUUAUCAUCUUUAUUGACUGACUCACUCCACCAGGAAAGAAUCUUCAUACAUAACAUCCGCUCCAGUCAUAGCACAGAAGAUCACAGACAAACAAACUACAAUGUGAAAGACAAUGGUAACAUUUUGACUUUUCCAAAACAAAACGAUGAAGCAUCACAAUGCUAGAAAUGUGAGAUGGUAAUGUUACUUUGGACAGCAUUCUUUUUCCUUUCUUUUGAAUUCUUUUUGUUUAUUCUUUUUAAUAUACAUAUAUUUGUUAUUAGUGCUUAUAAUUAUAGUAUUUUAAAUUGCAAAGUCUGCCUGCUUCCAGGUCCUGGUGAAUGAAUGAUGAGAUGAAUUUGUGAAAAUCACUUUUGUCACCAAAUAACUAAAACUAUCAAUCAUCUGUCAAUCACUCAUUAUACCUUUCUGCAACCAAGCACACAUAUGUCAUGCUCUCAAUCUUUCCUGACUACUUUAUACAUUUUAUUUUUACCCACACCCUCAUUUUUAACACUUGCAAAAUCCUUUAUCUAACUAGGCAGUUCUUAUUGUUCCUAUCUAAAUGAAAAAAAUAAUGCUGGGUACCAGCUUUAUAAGCUUUAAGAAGGAAAUAGGCCACAAAACCAGACCAGUGGCAGAUCAGGGAUGUCUGUCCGGGGGGGGGGGG